rnacentral:lncRNA from 1 species
GACCUCACCCACAGUAUGCAUAAGCUCCCAGGCCAGGGAUGGAACCCGCACCAUGGCUGCAAUCUGAGCCACAGCAGUGACAAUGCUGGAUCCUUAACCCACUGCACCAGCAGGGAACUUCCUAUAUUACCUAUAUUUAAAAUCUGUACCAUCUUUUUACUGUAAUUUUGGAAUUAAAAAAGAAAAAAUACAAAAAUAAUUCCAGGGUUCUCACCAUCCAGAAUUAACAACUGUUAACAUUUUGCCAUAGUCAAUGUUGUGAUCAUUUUUUAACUCAUAAGGACAUAAUUAUGACAUUAAAAAAAUUAAAAAUACAAGGAACAUUCAUAGACUGCCCAACUGUUUUAAGAAGGAAAACAUCAGGAGUUCCCAUUGUGGCUCAGUGGAAAUGACUCUGACUAGCAUCCAUGAGGAUGCAGGUUUGAGCCCUGGCCUCGCUCAGUGGGUUAAGGAUCUGGCAUGGUCAUGAGCUGUAGUGUAGGUCAAAGAAGCGGCUCUGAUCCUGCUUGGCUGUGGUGUAGGCCAGCAGCUGCAGCUCCCAUUCGACCCCUGGCCUGGGAACUUCCAAAUGCCACCAGUGUGUUGUAAGUACUCUAGAGAUGAUUUAAAGUGUAAGCUGUGUAGAGCAUAUGCAAAGAGCCCAUCUUCUAUGAGGGACCUGAGCAUCCAAGGAUUCUGCUCUCCACAGGGUGGGGGGCCUGGAACCAAAGCCCUGUGGAUACUAAGGGAUGACGGUAUGGGCUUUUCAUACUUUGCCACCAGUCAGAUGUCCCCUCUCACUAGUCUGUUAAUUACCACUAUCUCACCUUAGGGCAAAUACAUACAUUUGUAUUACAAGUGCCUUGGUUACUGUUACUUGGUUACCAGCUGUCCAAAGGUAAGAAAGAUGAAAGAAAAAUGUGAAAAGCCAUCCUAAUGGAGACAGAGGUCUAAGGAAGAGCCUACACUUCACACCAUAUCAUCUAAAUGAGGGACUUACACGUUACACAUGUUCCAGAUGCAAGCUCAAAAACAUGUGGGAAAUUUUUCUUGUCUUCAUACAUUCAUUCAAAAAAAUUAUGUGCAUGCCUACUACAUGCUUGCCUGCCUUCCAGGCAUGAGAAAUACCGGGUGAACAAAACAGACUGUGCUCGACACUUGCAUACUUCAUCUGUCCACAUCAGUACCUGAGAAGCACAUCAGACAUAGAGUAAGUGACAGGGAGAAAAACGUGGCAAGGAAGGCAGCUGUGUCCUGGGGCGCAGGGAGGGAACGGCCAGCGAAGAAUCUCCCAGGAGGUGACCUCUAAGCACAGCUGGAGGGGUCAAGGAAGCUGGCCCUGCAGACACAGCACGAAGAGUGCUGCAAGGAGAGGGUGCAUUAUUGGGAAGGCUCUAGGGACACCAGGCUCAUGUGUCCAGGACAGCGUGAAGCGGGGAGAGCCCCUAGGCAAGGCUGUCCAGGGUUCUGCAGGUGUGGUGAGAACUCUGGCUUUUCAUGCUGAGGGAGAUGAGAAGCCACUGGAGGAACCAGAGCAGAGGGGUGCCAGGAUCUGACUUCUCCAGGCUGGCCAGGACUGGAGCUGCCCAACUUUGGUGUGACGAAUGAGAGAGACCAAGAAGGAUCAAAGGUCACUCCCCGACGCCUGCCUGGAAGGGUGGAAGGGCUGUGGCUUAAGAUGAGGAGGCCGGGGAAGCUGAGCUGGGGAAGGGAUGAAGAGAAGGAGGAAUUAGGUUUGGGAUGUGGUACGUCUCAUGCAUCAAGUGGGGGUGCCGAGUGGGCAGGUCAGCUGGAUGCAGGAACCUGAAUUCAGGGGAGAGGUUACAAUGCAAACACAACACGACACACACACGCUCAAGUAUACAUGUAGAUACGCAUGUAUAGGAAUGACCACUGAAAACCAGAUAUUUAAAACCAUGAAACUGGGACUGGAGAGAAGCAAAGAGGGUCCACCUGAGCCCUGAGGCACAGGAAGACUUAGCAGGUUGAGGCGCUGAGGACACUUCCACGACCAGGAAGGAGGGACGGUGAGGCAUGCGGACAAUCAAGAUGAUGUGUUUGGAAGCUACGCGAACAGUUAAUAAAAACUAAACCCUCUCCUGCGUGUUCACGCAUUGAUCUGACGUAUUUCUGGAGCACCUGCUAUGCGCCUUGUGCUGGAGAAACAAACCUGUUCCCCGUUUUUCUGAGAAUACAGAUAAACUCGUAAGUGCGCUUCCUGAUAGAGCCCAGUGUGUGCGGGUAACGCUCUAGGACCAGCUAACCUAGCCUGGGAAGGUCAGGGGAGGCUUUUCGGAGGAAGUGAUGUUGAAGAAAAGACUAGAAUGAUGGGAAACAAGAGCCAGGAGAGGGGUGGAGGUGGAGGAGGGAAGACUGGCAGGAAGAGAGAGGAAAAGAAAAGGAUUUCUAUGUAAAACCUGAAGUGAAGAGAGACAUCGUGACGCCCUGAGCGCAACUGGAAGUACAGAAGGAGGUCACUGCGACUGGAGAAAGGCGGGCCAGAAGGCAUCUAAGACGCCCCUCGGGAGCUGGAGCCUUACUCCAAAGGCAAUGGGAAGCUAGAACACUGUUUCAGGCGGGGGAAUGCAAAGAUCAGCUUUCUAUUUCAGGAGGAGCACGCUGGCAGGUCCAGAGCUGGAAGGGGCAAGGCGGGGACGCUAGUUGGGAGCCUGGUCCAUGAUUCAUCAGCCCAGAUGCCACAGACCUGAAGUCAGGGCGUGGCAGGGGGAUUGGGAAUGUGGACUCACCAGGGACUUAGACAGGAGCAAGGAGGAGAGGGAGGGGUCAAGGAUGGGAGCCUGGCUUUUGACCUGGACAGGUAAGUAACUGGUAGUGCUACUCCCUAAAACAAACAAAAAAGUACAAGCAACAACUGUUUGGUAAAUAGGCGAUUGGCUAUCUGGGUCUAGAGAGCAGCCAUAAAAUCUGAGCUAGAGUUGUAAAUUAGGAAUCACGGGCAUGUAGAUUAAAGCCCUGGGAGGGUGUAAAAUGAAACCCAGGGAGUGAGAAAAGGGCAGAGGAAUGGAAAGGCCCGGACCUGGUAAAAAAACCUACAGGAAUGAGGCAGCAGAGGAAGAAGCAGCCUAAAGAGAGAGAGAUGGAGGGAGAGAGAGUCUGAGAUGGAACUAGGGUGUUUGAGAUAAAAGCUAAGUGUGCAGUACUCCAGAAAGAAGAGCCCAAGUAUGAAUUUUCAUAUGGAUGAAUUCAUGCACAGAAAAUGCCUUAUUUUACUAUUACGCUGUUCCAAAACCAACUAAUAUUUUUCAUCAGCU